GUAAGUACGUGCGAGCCGCGGCGGUAGUAUGGAGGGGUAAAGGUGGAAUCGUAAGUAGUGGGCGGACAGGGUUCGCAGGCGGGGAUGCAAGACCGAUGUGAAAUGCACGGUCGGAACCUGGUAACUGCAUGUUGGAGUGCAUCGGUGGAGGAUGGCAGAGGGGGGGAGAAUUCCACGUGUAGCAGUGAAAUGCGUAGAGAUGGUGAGGAAUACCGAUGGCGAAGGCAGCCCCCUGGGCCAAUACUGACGCUCAUGCACGAAAGCGUGGGGAGCAAACAGGAUUAGAUACCCCGGUAGUC
rnacentral:rRNA from 1 species